rnacentral:misc_RNA from 1 species
GAUGAAGAACGUAGCGAAAUGCGAUAAGUAAUGUGAAUUGCAGAAUUCAGUGAAUCAUCGAAUCUUUGAACGCACAUUGCGCCCGCCAGUAUUCUGGCGGGCAUGCCUGUUCGAGCGUCAUUACAACCCUCAGGCCCCCGGGCCUGGCGUUGGGGAUCGGCGGAAGCCCCCUGCGGGCACAACGCCGUCCCCCAAAUACAGUGGCGGUCCCGCCGCAGCUUCCAUUGCGUAGUAGCUAACACCUCGCAACUGGAGAGCGGCGCGGCCACGCCGUAAAACACCCAACUUCUGAAUGUUGACCUCGAAUCAGGUAGGAAUACCCGCUGAACUUAUGCAUAUCAAUAAGCGGAGGA